rnacentral:misc_RNA from 1 species
UGACAAACACGUUACUGAACAGCAUAAUUAAUCCAAAUAUGGUAUAACAUUAGUUAAUUCAGGUCUCAGGUUUGAGACAAAAACAUAUUUCAAAUUAAUAUUUUGCAAAGACAGCUGGUGAGAACACUGUGGGAGUGGAGGGGGGGGGACACUUUCAGAGUUCCAGCAUAAUAUUGUAAACACAAGCCGCAACUCGCCACCCAGACCUGUCACUACCUGUCCAGUAUAUUCUCAUAAACACGGCAUGUUCUAACUCAGCUGGCUUGACUGAUGCGGCUUAGCAGAUCUGCUGUGUACACCAUGUUACAGACUCAGGCCCAGAAAGAUCGUGUCAUUGCUUCCCUUCCACCACCCUUCAUCAGACAGGCCAGUCCACACACCCAUGAUGACUUCCAUGUGGAGGUGAGGAAUGCAGCCAAUGGGGACCACAUGCUGCAAGCAGGCCUCAAGAUCUCCAAGAUGAUAGUGUUGGGAGAUGUAGCCACUGGCAAGACCUGCCUUGUUAACAGGUUCUGUCACCAAGUGUUUGAUGCCAACUACAAGGCAACCAUUGGUGUAGACUUUGAGGUGGAGAGAUUUGAUAUCCUGGGUAUCCCCUUCAAUUUACAAAUUUGGGACACAGCUGGGCAGGAGAGAUUUAAGUGCAUCGCUGCCUCAUACUAUCGAGGUGCCAGUGCGGUCAUGAUCGUAUUUGAUGUGACAAACAUCGUGACGCUAGCCCACACCUCCCAGUGGCUGGAGGAGGCACGGCAGGCCAAUGCAGACCGUCUCACCCCGGUGGUCUUCCUGGUGGGGACAAAGCGAGAUCUGAUGAGUGAGGGUGCCUAUGACCAGAUUGAGAAGGAGGCCAGGCGUGUGGCACAAGGUCUUGGAGCAGAGUAUUGGGCAGUGUCCUCCAAGACAGGAGACAAUGUGGAAGCUUUGUUCCUACGUGUAGCAUCACUCACUUUUGAUCAUUCAGUGAUGCAGGAGCUAAGCAGUGGCUCCUCUGAUCGACGUAAACAGUCCACUGUCAAGAUUGGGCACCGGCUGGAAGACACCUUUGAGGGACACAAGAAGAACAAAUGUGCAUCAUGUGGGAAGUAACAGCUGGGCCUUGAGUUGGUUAGGCCACAGGGCUUCAUCACAUACCUCAAGUCCAUUUCACACACUACAGUAUUGAAAGCACAACAGACUUUCUUCUCUUACCAAAGUCCAGCCAGGUGACCUGAUGUUGCUCAGCCUUGCAUCAGACAAUCUUCUCUUCAGAACACAGAACUUUUUUGUUUCUUAUAGUAGUGUUGGCGUCAUCACUUGCAUUGAAAUUCCAUACGUAUAUAUAUUGUUGUUAGACAUCUUGAAUUAUUAUGUUAUAUUGGUCCACUUGUGAGAAAAUGGUUCUGAACUAAAUUUUUUAUGAGCAUUUAGUUUUGCAGUGAAAGAAGUAAUCAUAUUUAUUUAUUUGUAUGAUAGUUGAUAUCAAAGGAUCAAGUAUACAUGUAUGUGGUUUGCCCUUAUGUCAGGAAUGCAUGUGUAUGCAUGAGUUAUAGGCCUGAUUUUGUUCUUCAGUCCUUCCAAGGCAACAAAAAUUUAUUUUACAUUAUCAUUGAA